rnacentral:rRNA from 1 species
AAGUCGUAACAAGGUCUCCGUUGGUGAACCAGCGGAGGGAUCAUUACCGAGUCACGCACUCAAAUAACCCUUCUGUGGACCUGAAUUAAAACCGUUGCCUCGGCGGGCGGUCCCCUGUCAAAACCCACGUGGUGUGGGCAGGGGACCAGACAGUCCGCCACGCUUGAGGCGUCCGGCGCCAGCCGCUGGCCCUAAACAAUUAAACUCUAGUAACCUUACCUUCUGAGUUUUAAUGCAAAAAAAUAAGUCAAAACUUUCAACAACGGAUCUCUUGGCUCUGGCAUCGAUGAAGAACGCAGCGAAAUGCGAUAAGUAAUGUGAAUUGCAGAAUUCAGUGAAUCAUCGAAUCUUUGAACGCACAUUGCGCCCGCUGGUAUUCCAGCGGGCAUGCCCGUUCGAGCGUCAUUUUAAUCCCUUCCCGGGAGACUCUUCUAUUCUGUAGUGGAGUGUCUACGGGGUGUUGGCAUUGGACGCCUUAUUUUUAGGCGACCGGAGCCGAAAUGAAGUGGCGGACUCGCAGCGGCCCCUAGCGCAGUAGAAACAACCCUUCUCGCUUAGGAGAGCCGCAGCGGUGGACCACAGCCCUACAUGCUUUUUUUAUUUUUUAGAAAAGCUAUAUCUAAAAACUUGACCUCGGAUCGGGUAGGACUACCCGCUGAACUUAA